GACGAACGCUGGCGGCGUGCUUAACACAUGCAAGUCGAACGGAAAGGCCCCCAUCUUGGUGGGGGUGCUCGAGUGGCGAACGGGUGAGUAACACGUGGGUGAUCUGCCCUGUACUUCGGGAUAAGCUUGGGAAACUGGUUCUAAUACCGGAUAGGACCAUGGUUUAGUGUCUCAUGGUGGAAAGAUUAUUGUUUUGGUGCAGGAUGAGCUCGCGGCCUAUCAGCUUGUUGGUGGGGUAAUGGCCUACCAAGGCGUCGACGGGUAGCCGGCCUGAGAGGGUGGACGGCGACAUUGGGACUGAGAUACGGCCCAGACUCCUACGAGAGGCAGCAGUGGGGGAUAUUGCACAACGGGCGCAAGCCUGAUGCAGCGACGCUGCGUGGGGGAUGACGGCCUUCGGGUUGUAAACUCCUUUCGUUAGGGAGGAAGCAACGAUUUUUGGGGGUGAUGACGGUACCUUUGUGAAGAAGCACCGGCUAACUACGUG
rnacentral:rRNA from 1 species